rnacentral:rRNA from 1 species
GACGAACGCUGGCGGCGUGCUUAACACAUGCAAGUCGAACGGAGAGGCCCUGCUUUUGUGGGGUGCUCGAGUGGCGAACGGGUGAGUAACACGUGAGUAACCUGCCCUUGACUUUGGGAUAACUUCAGGAAACUGGGGCUAAUACCGGAUAGGAGCUCCUGCUGCAUGGUGGGGGUUGGAAAGUUUCGGCGGUUGGGGAUGGACUCGCGGCUUAUCAGCUUGUUGGUGGGGUAGUGGCUUACCAAGGCUUUGACGGGUAGCCGGCCUGAGAGGGUGACCGGCGACAUUGGGCCUGAGAUACGGAGCAGACUCCUACGGGAGGCAGCAGUGGGGAAUAUUGCACAAUGGGCGGAAGCCUGAUGCAGCAGCGCCGCGUGCGGGAUGACGGCCUUCGGGUUGUAAACCGCUUUCGCCUGUGACGAAGCGUGAGUGACGGUAAUGGGUAAAGAAGCACCGGCUAACUACGUG